rnacentral:tRNA from 1 species
ACCUGUCUGGCUCAGUCAGUAGAGCAUGCGAUUCUUGAUCCGGGGUUGUGAGUUCAAGUCUCAUGUUGGGUA